AGUUAGGAAUAACAGCCUCACAUGGCAUCCUGGCUGGCACAGCAGUGAGAGACAUGGGCCUCUGGGGAUCACUGCUGCUGCUGCUGCUGCUGCCUAUAGCACACACUGCACCGCCACAAAUAGCUACACGGGAUAUUUUUGGAUCCCCCUACGCUGCAUCCGCAUUACCUGGACAGAGAGACACGACCCCAAACUGUCCAAACCACAGGGCAUGAUCCCGGCAUCAAGGAGGCAAUCAAUCCCAUCAUGCACCGGGGCGAGGAUGGGAGAUGGAAGAGGGCGAAGCGUGGUUGGACUAGAUAACAGUGAAGUGAUCAGCGUGAAAUGUGACCCGGGGUGAAGGCUCAGGAGUGAGGUGGCCUUGGUGCAGCUGCAGUGAUCCAACACACAACUGGACGAGGUGUCUCUGGACAUGAAACUCUUUUUAUGACACACAAUUAGCGUCACAGACUGUUUUAUUUCACUGUGGAGUCACUGUUUGUUAUUAUUUUGUGCCCUAAUGCCUGCAGUCUUAGUGAAAUGCACAAAUGAUCUGUGUAGCUGCGUAGUAUUCUGUUUCCAGUUACACUUUCAGAAAUUCUAAAAUACUCUCCUCCCUGUUAACGUUUUUAAGCAAAAGUUAAAUGAAGUUGGGCUUAGUAAAGAUGAUUUAGAUGGAAAAUAUAACCAAAAACAGUAAAAUUCCUUUGUAACAUAAUAAAGAUUGGACACUUGAAAGUUAA